GACGAACGCUGGCGGCGUGCCUAACACAUGCAAGUCGAACGGAGAAUUAGCAAUAAUUCUUAGUGGCGAACGGGUGAGUAACGAGUAGACAACCUACCCUUUAGAUGGGGACAACACCGUGAAAGUGGUGCUAAUACCGAAUAUUGCUUGAGAAGCGAAUGCUUUUCAAACAAAAGAUGGCCUCUAUUUAUAAGCCAUCGCUAACGAAUGGUUCGGCGUCUGAUUAGCUAGGUGGUGAGCUAAAAGCUCAUCAAGGCAAAGAGCAGUAGCCGGUCUGAGAGGAGGAACGGCCACACUGGGACUGAGACACGGCCCAGACUCCUACGGGAGGCAGCAGUGGGGAAUCUUCCGCAAUGGACGAAAGUCUGACGGAGCAACGCCGCGUGAGUGAUGAAGGUUUUCGGAUCGUAAGACUCUGUUGUUAAGGACGAAUGUAUAGAUUGUGAAUAAUGGUUUAUAAUGACGGUACUUAACGAGGAAGCCACGGCUAACUACGUGCCAGCCGCCGCUGUAA
rnacentral:rRNA from 1 species